rnacentral:rRNA from 1 species
AUUGAACGCUGGCGGCAUGCCUUACACAUGCAAGUCGAACGGUAGCACGAGGCAACCUGGUGUUGAGUGGCGAAGGGGGGUGUAAUGCAUCGGAACGUACCCUUGAGAGGGGGGUAACGUGGCGAAAGUCAGGCUAAUACCCCAUAUUCUGUAUGCAGGAAAGCAGGGGAGCGCGAGACGUCGUGCGCUUUGAGCGGCCGAUGUCGGAUUAGCUAGUUGGUGAGGUAAAGGCUCACCAGGGCGACGAUCUGUAGCGGGUCUGAGAGGAUGAUCAGACACACUGGAACUGAGACACGGUCCAGACUCCUACGGGAGGCAGCAGUGGGGAAUUUUGGACAAUGGGGGAAACCCUGAUCCAGCCAUGCCGCGUGUGUGAAGAAGGCCUUCGGGUUGUAAAGCACUUUCGGCUGGGAGGAAAGGGAGCGAGCUAAUACCUUAUGUUUAUGACGGUACCGAAAGAAGAAGCACCGGCUAACUACGUGCCAGCAGCCGCCGUAACAC